rnacentral:rRNA from 1 species
GACGAACGCUGGCGGCGUGCCUAAUACAUGCAAGUUGAGCGCUGAAGGUUGGUACUUGUACCAACUGGAUGAGCAGCGAACGGGUGAGUAACGCGUGGGGAAUCUGCCUUUGAGCGGGGGACAACAUUUGGAAACGAAUGCUAAUACCGCAUAAAAACUUUAAACACAUGUUUCAAGUUUGAAAGAUGCAAUUGCAUCACUCAAAGAUGAUCCCGCGUUGUAUUAGCUAGUUGGUGAGGUAAAGGCUCACCAAGGCGAUGAUACAUAGCCGACCUGAGAGGGUGAUCGGCCACAUUGGGACUGAGACACGGCCCAAACUCCUACGGGAGGCAGCAGUAGGGAAUCUUCGGCAAUGGACGAAAGUCUGACCGAGCAACGCCGCGUGAGUGAAGAAGGUUUUCGGAUCGUAAAACCCUGUUGGUAGAGAAGAACGUUGGUGAGAGUGGAAAGCUCAUCAAGUGACGGUAACUACCCAGAAAGGGACGGCUAACUACGUG